rnacentral:rRNA from 1 species
CCUACGGGAGGCAGCAGUGGGGAAUCUUAGACAAUGGGCGCAAGCCUGAUCUAGCCAUGCCGCGUGUGUGAUGAAGGCCUUAGGGUCGUAAAGCACUUUCGCCAGAGAUGAUAAUGACAGUAUCUGGUAAAGAAACCCCGGCUAACUCCGUGCCAGCAGCCGCGGUAAUACGGAGGGGGUUAGCGUUGUUCGGAAUUACUGGGCGUAAAGCGUACGUAGGCGGAUCAGAAAGUAUGGGGUGAAAUCCCAGGGCUCAACCCUGGAACUGCCUCAUAAACUCCUGGUCUUGAGUUCGAGAGAGGUGAGUGGAAUUCCAAGUGUAGAGGUGAAAUUCGUAGAUAUUUGGAGGAACACCAGUGGCGAAGGCGGCUCACUGGCUCGAUACUGACGCUGAGGUACGAAAGUGUGGGGAGCAAACAGGAUUAGAUACCCUGGUAGUCCACACCGUAAACGAUGAAUGCCAGUCGUCGGGCAGUAUACUGUUCGGUGACACACCUAACGGAUUAAGCAUUCCGCCUGGGGAGUACGGUCGCAAGAUUAAAACUCAAAKGAAUUGACGG